GGCAGCCGCCCACCCGCGCCGGCGCUGCGGGGCUCGCUGCGGGAGCGCCGGGCCGCGCCGAGAAGGUUACUGUUUAACCACUUAAAGGCAGGCGUUGUAGGUGAAGGUUAAUAGCAUUCGAAAAAUGACCUGAGGAGCUUCAUGCUGCUCCACCAUCAUCAAUUUCAUCUCUCAGAGCUCCUUGCGUUUCUCAGGAAGAAGUAAAGUCUCUGCCUUUGGUCUGCUGGCCUUAUGCCUCUCCCUCCACCCCACCCUCUCCAUAAUUUGGACUGCAAAUACUGAAACCUACUGAAGCUGGAGGUAGCCUUACUAGCUAGGAGGAGGAUUUUGGGUGGUCAAACAUGUUCUGACAAAGUUCCACAAGAUAAAUUACCCACCGCUUAGAUGACAAUGAAUGGUUUGUAACAUCAAAGUUUUGGGAGAUCAAGUAGCACAAAGAGAAGACGAAUACAAAAAGAAACUGCAGUAGAAGAGGUCAGAUGUUAUGAAAAUAGUUUGCUCUGGGCUUUUUGUUUUGUCUUUUUCUGUAUUUCAGAUAAAAUAAUGGAAUUCUUAAUCUACAUUCCUCACCUAAGGACACUUCCUAACAAGUCCUGUGCUUUUUUUUUCCUGUGUGCUUUUUUAAUUACCCUGAUAGCUAGUUCUGUUCUAGCAGCAGUGCUGAAGAAGUUUUCAGCUUGUAGGUAUGAUUUCUAACUGACAUGAUGUUGUAAUAAAGUUACAGGAAUAUCAGCUCCUGCUUAACCUGCAAACUAUAAUGUUUAAUGUCUUGUCCAUUUGAAAUAAAAUUAUUGAAUUCUUGAGUGUUUCUAUCUCUUCUCCCUGUGAAUGCUCUUUAAAAGCUUUAUUAUCAGUUCAUUUGUACUGUUAGGUUUGUUUCUCAUUUUCUUAUUUUUCAGUUAUUUUGGGGAAAAAAAAUUGCAGCUCAGUGGCAUUAGUAGGUGCCUUGCAUGUAGGUAGAAAAUGUGCUUAACAGUUCUUCCCCAUGGCUGUAUUUAUCUUGAGCUUAGUUAUGCCCGUGUUCACAUACUUGUUGGGCUUGAACCAAGCCCCUCGAGUUGAUAUGGUCAGAUAUAAGCUGCCCUGGAUGAAUUUCCCCAAGCCUUCACAUGUGAAGUCAAAUAUCUGUCAUGGAGAAUUUUCCUGAACAUGCUAAAAAGGAAACCUUUUCAGGCACUUUUAGACUGUUCAGUUGCACCAUUCUCGUUGGAACCAGAAGUAAUGACACUGGGUUCUUGUGCUGGGUCUCUAAACCCUAGCAUUAGAUCUGAUCUAUCCUAUGUAUGUGUGGUUGCAUCACCAAAUCUCUCAUCUUUUUAGUCUGAGAAAGCAUCUCAGCCUGUGCUGUCUCUGAGCCAUGUUCUGCUGCACUGAAAUUGCCAGUGCAAUGUAACAGUCUGCUGGUCUGCUUGUCAUCAUGAAAGACAGGCCAGCCUGGAAAAUACUGUCUUGUUAUUGGGAUGUGGGAAUUAGUCUUCCGAUGCCCUGCAACUUUCUUUCCAUAUUCUACAUAAGUAUUUCUUCAAAUUUUUCUUUCACUUUAUAAUUUUGGAGGAUCUGUGUUUUGCUAGCUGUACCUGUGAACUGAGUGCUCUUAGCAUAUGUUAGGUUGUUAAAUGACUGAAACAAGGACUUCCUGCUGAAGGCCUCUUCCUUGCCCCUAAUAGUACUGAUUGUUUUGGUGAAGUAGUUUUAGGAACAGUAAAAAAAAACAGGUGCAUUGUUCCUUUUUGUCACUGUACAGCCUCCCACUUUCUUCUGAGGGUGUGGUGAAUGAGGAGCAGCAAGACUGGCCUGCUUUCCUAGGACGAGAUUCAGAGUCAGUAUUUUUCUUUAGGUCAUGCAGAUUUAAAUUAAGAUAGUGGGGUCAAGAUAAGGUAAACUGAACUUUUAACUCUAGAAUUCUAAGCUUGGAAAUGGGUAACUGAGUUUUUGUUUUCUUCAUGUAUGCAGCAAGUAGACAAGCAUAUUUCAGAUUCUCUCAGAGGAUAAAAGGCAGUACUUACUUGUUAGCAACACAUGGUUAAAUUGAUGCUAUUUGUCUUCUGAAAUAAAAUUACAAAAUUUUUUUUUUUUUUGCAAUAUCAAGAAGGUGGGAUAAAGAAGACUGAGAGAUGCUGUGGAACUUGGGGACAAUAAUGUAUAGUGAAGUGUACUUAAAUGGGAGGGAUGUAGCCUGUCUUGGAGUUCAGCCACAUCAUCUACUGUCUGAUGGAAUUCUUUUCAAAUUGAUGGCUAACAAUAAAGCUGCUGCUUCUAGA